rnacentral:rRNA from 1 species
UACGAAGGGGGCUAGCGUUGCUCGGAAUCACUGGGCGUAAAGCGCACGUAGGCGGAUCGUUAAGUCGGGGGUGAAAUCCUGGAGCUCAACUCCAGAACUGCCUUUGAUACUGGGGAUCUCGAGUCCGGGAGAGGUGAGUGGAACUCCGAGUGUAGAGGUGAAAUUCGUAGAUAUUCGCAAGAACACCAGUGGCGAAGGCGGACUCACUGGCCCGAUACUGACGCUGAGGCACGAAAGCGUGGG